GGGUUGUGAGGUUAAGCGACUAAGCGUACACGGUGGAUGCCCUGGCAGUCAGAGGCGAUGAAGGGCGUGCUAAUCUGCGAUAAGCGCCGGUAAGGUGAUAUGAACCGUUAUAACCGGCGAUACCCGAAUGGGGAAACCCAGUGUGAUUCGUCACACUAUCAUUAACUGAAUCCAUAGGUUAAUGAGGCGAACCGGGGGAACUGAAACAUCUAAGUACCCCGAGGAAAAGAAAUCAACCGAGAUUCCCCCAGUAGCGGCGAGCGAACGGGGAGGAGCCCAGAGCCUGAAUCAGCAUGUGUGUUAGUGGAAGCGUCUGGAAAGGCGCGCGAUACAGGGUGACAGCCCCGUACACAAAAGCGCAUGUGCUGUGAGCUCGAUGAGUAGGGCGGGACACGUGAUAUCCUGUCUGAAUAUGGGGGGACCAUCCUCCAAGGCUAAAUACUCCUGACUGACCGAUAGUGAACCAGUACCGUGAGGGAAAGGCGAAAAGAACCCCGGCGAGGGGAGUGAAAAAGAACCUGAAACCGUGUACGUACAAGCAGUGGGAGCACCCUUCGGGGUGUGACUGCGUACCUUUUGUAUAAUGGGUCAGCGACUUAUAUUCUGUAGCAAGGUUAACCGAAUAGGGGAGCCGGAGGGAAACCGAGUCUUAACCGGGCGUUAAGUUGCAGGGUAUAGACCCGAAACCCGGUGAUCUAGCCAUGGGCAGGUUGAAGGUUGGGUAACACUAACUGGAGGACCGAACCGACUAAUGUUGAAAAAUUAGCGGAUGACCUGUGGCUGGGGGUGAAAGGCCAAUCAAACCGGGAGAUAGCUGGUUCUCCCCGAAAGCUAUUUAGGUAGCGCCUCGUGAAUUCAUCUCCGGGGGUAGAGCACUGUUUCGGCUAGGGGGCCAUCCCGGCUUACCAACCCGAUGCAAACUGCGAAUACCGGAGAAUGUUAUCACGGGAGACACACGGCGGGUGCUAACGUCCGUCGUGAAGAGGGAAACAACCCAGACCGCCAGCUAAGGUCCCAAAGUCAUGGUUAAGUGGGAAACGAUGUGGGAAGGCCCAGACAGCCAGGAUGUUGGCUUAGAAGCAGCCAUCAUUUAAAG
rnacentral:rRNA from 1 species